AUUCGGCUGAUGAAUCUCAAAUCAGACGGAACGCGCGUCCUGGAU
rfam:Schistosoma rodhaini strain Burundi genome assembly, scaffold: SROB_scaffold0004357